AUGGACCCGGCCGAGAUUUUGAAUGCUCGUUUCCAUUGGGGUGGCGAGUUCAUCCGAAUUGGUCCUAAUUUGCAAUAUGUUGGGGCAAAGGAAGCUAUGUCAGAGAUAGAAAGAGACAAAUUGUCGCUGCAGGAAGUGAAGGGCUAUUUGAAGGAUCACAUGGCACUGAAGGAAUCAAGGAAGUUCUAUUUUCUGACUCCUGGUCAAGAACUUAUCAAUGGUUUGAUGUUUCUGAAUGAUGACAACAAGUGUGUGCAGAUGGCAGAUUAUGUAUUUGUUGGUGCAGUUGUAGAUGUGUUUGUGGAGUACUGUGGACAAGAAGAUAGUGCUGACAGUAUCAGUGGGAGUGACUUUGAGGAUGAGAUUGUGGCAUUGACAGAAUCUUGUUAUCACUCCUGCUGA
rnacentral:rRNA from 1 species